UCCUUGAUAUCUCAGCUGGUAAAGAAUUUGCCUCCAGUGCAGAAGACCCUGGUUCAAUUCCUGGGUGGGGAA
rfam:Ovis aries breed Texel chromosome 12, whole genome shotgun sequence.